rnacentral:ribozyme from 1 species
CAUCAUGAAAGAAGAAAAAAAGAAAAGAAAAAAGAACAGAUAAAAAUCAAUGAGCAAGGAAAGAGCGAUACACACUUCUUUUUUCGCACAAUUGAUCCACAGGUGCGUUUUUGUUCUUUUCUUUCGUGAGCGUCCUUGGUUGGGUGCACAGAAGAAGAGAAACGCAAAGCAGCAAACAUCCAUCCUCUGCAAAGAAAAAAAAAGAAAAGAAAAGAAACAUC